UACAGAGGGUGCGAGCGUUAAUCGGAAUUACUGGGCGUAAAGGGCUCGUAGGCGGCCAACUAAGUCGGAUGUGAAAUCCCCAGGCUCAACUUGGGAACUGCAUCCGAUACUGGAUGGCUUGAAUUCGGGAGAGGGAUGCAGAAUUCCAGGUGUAGCGGUGAAAUGCGUAGAUAUCUGGAGGAAUACCGGUGGCGAAGGCGGCAUCCUGGACCGACGAUUGACGCUGAGGAGCGAAAGCUAGGGGAGCAAACGGGGAUUAAGAAA
rnacentral:rRNA from 1 species